UAAUAAUAAUAAUAUUAAUGUUUAUUCACGUGUGAAGAAAGUUAACUAGACUCAAACAUUACCCACAUAAACCGCAUAAACACAGAUCACGCAGCGUAUAGAAUACAACUAACCACAGGGUUUCAUUGACGCGGUGUGUCUUGUUCAAUGAAUCGUAGUAAUUUUUUUGUGUAAUGGUUGCUAUGACUCAAAUGAUUAUAUUUAUUACAAGGCGAAACUGUUUCACUAAAAAGUAAGUGGGAUUUUUUUUUUUUACUAUCAAACUUAGUGUAUGAGUAAGAGCUGUUAGUUCAAAAUGGACAGCGAUUCCUAUCCAUCGUCUGCUAGAACGGUGAGGCGUUGCAAACGACGGCGGCGACCGCGUAAAAUCCGAACACAACGGCGACGGAUAGGUUCUUACACAUCUCUUGAGACUGAUACUACCGCAUCGCGAAGUCGAUCGGUAAGUGUUAAUUCCAGUUCUAGUUUUUUUUCAUUAUCACCCCUACGUCAACGGUCGCUCUCGUCGACUUCAUAUUCUCCUUGGAGCUCGAGUAGCGACGUGAAGUCUUUUCAUAGUAAAUCAACACUGUGGUUGGAAUCGGAUACAGAUGACGAACAUGGAAUUGGAAAUUGGUCUACAUCAGAACCAUCAAUAAUUUCGCUAGCAGAUUCAUGGUCAUCAACAGAUGUUACUUAUGAAUCGGAUGCAGACGUGUUACCUCCACUUCUGCGUCUUAAUCAGCCAGCUAUUGAAACCAUUUGGCUAACUGAUUCGGAUUAAUAUGGUUUUUAGGGAGGUAUUUAUUAUUGUUGAAAACAUGAACGUUAGAGAUCACUGUUAACAGAUAGAGUUGUUGGAAAUUAUUAUCAUGUGUACUCUAC